rnacentral:rRNA from 1 species
AUUGAACGCUGGCGGCAGGCCUAACACAUGCAAGUCGAGCGGAUGAAGGGAGCUUGCUCCUGGAUUCAGCGGCGGGCGGGUGAGUAAUGCCUAGGAAUCUGCCUGGUAGUGGGGGAUAACGUCCGGAAACGGGCGCUAAUACCGCAUACGUCCUGAGGGAGAAAGUGGGGGAUCUUCGGACCUCACGCUAUCAGAUGAGCCUAGGUCGGAUUAGCUAGUUGGUGGGGUAAAGGCCUACCAAGGCGACGAUCCGUAACUGGUCUGAGAGGAUGAUCAGUCACACUGGAACUGAGACACGGUCCAGACUCCUACGGGAGGCAGCAGUGGGGAAUAUUGGACAAUGGGCGAAAGCCUGAUCCAGCCAUGCCGCGUGUGUGAAGAAGGUCUUCGGAUUGUAAAGCACUUUAAGUUGGGAGGAAGGGCAGUAAGUUAAUACCUUGCUGUUUUGACGUUACCAACAGAAUAAGCGCCGGCUAACUUCGUG